UACGGGGGGAGCAAGCGUUGUUCGGAUUUACUGGGCGUAAAGGGCGCGUAGGCGGCGCGACAAGUCACUUGUGAAAUCUCUGGGCUCAACCCAGAACGGUCAAGUGAUACUGUCGUGCUAGAGUGCGGAAGGGGCAACUGGAAUUCUUGGUGUAGCGGUGAAAUGCGCAGAUAUCAGGAGGAACACCGGUGGCGAAGGCGGGUCUCUGGGCCGUAACUGACGCUGAGGAGCGAAAGCGUGGGGAGCGAACAGG
rnacentral:rRNA from 1 species